UGGGGAAUAUUGGACAAUGGGCGAAAGCCUGAUCCAGCCAUGCCGCGUGUGUGAAGAAGGUCUUCGGAUUGUAAAGCACUUUAAGUUGGGAGGAAGGGCAUUAACCUAAUACGUUAGUGUUUUGACGUUACCGACAGAAUAAGCACCGGCUAACUCUGUGCCAGCAGCCGCGGUAAUACAGAGGGUGCAAGCGUUAAUCGGAAUUACUGGGCGUAAAGCGCGCGUAGGUGGUUUGUUAAGUUGGAUGUGAAAUCUCCGGGCUCAACCUGGGAACUGCAUUCAAAACUGACUGACUAGAGUAUGGUAGAGGGUGGUGGAAUUUCCUGUGUAGCGGUGAAAUGCGUAGAUAUAGGAAGGAACACCAGUGGCGAAGGCGACCACCUGGACUAAUACUGACACUGAGGUGCGAAAGCGUGGGGAGCAAACA
rnacentral:rRNA from 1 species